AUGCCCUGUCCACCAAAACAACGAACCCAAAACACCCGACUGCACGGCACGACAACAUUGAAACGUUGCCACCCAAUAUCAGGGAGGCGUUGCAACAGGAGAAAGAAUAUCCUUGAACCCACGCAUCGAGAUUGCUUCUCUCUGGUUGCUGCACCUCUUCGAACGCAAAUCAGCAACGACCUGCAGUCAUGGUAUUUCAUUCAGGUCUGUAGCAUUUAG
rnacentral:rRNA from 1 species